UGAGGAAUAUUGGUCAAUGGGCGAGAGCCUGAACCAGCCAAGUCGCGUGAAGGAAGACUGCCUUAUGGGUUGUAAACUUCUUUUAUACAGGAAUAAAAAGGCUUACGUGUAGGCCAUUGCAAGUACUGUAUGAAUAAGCAUCGGCUAACUCCGUGCCAGCAGCCGCGGUAAUACGGAGGAUGCGAGCGUUAUCCGGAUUUAUUGGGUUUAAAGGGUGCGCAGGCGGGCUUUUAAGUCAGCGGUGAAAUCUGGACGCUUAACGUCCAAACUGCCGUUGAAACUGGGAGUCUUGAGUAUGGAUGAAGUAGGCGGAAUUCGUUGUGUAGCGGUGACAUGCAUAGAUAUAACGAGGAACUCCGAUUGCGUAGGCAGCUUACUAAGCCAUAACUGACGCUCAUGCACGAAAGCGUGGGGAUCAAACAGGAUUAGAUACCCUGGUAGUCCACGCCGUAAAACGAUGAUUACUAGUUGUAUGCGAUAUGAUAGUAUGUGACUAAGCGAAAGCGAUAAGUAAUCCACCUGGGGAGUGCGCCGGCAACGGUGAAACUCAAAGGAAUUGAC
rnacentral:rRNA from 1 species